rnacentral:rRNA from 1 species
CAGCAGCCACGGUAAUACGUAGGGUGCAAGCGUUAAUCGGAAUUACUGGGCGUAAAGCGUGCGCAGGCGGUUUGUUAAGACAGAUGUGAAAUCCCCGGGCUUAACCUGGGAACUGCAUUUGUGACUUGCAAGCUAGAGUAUGGCAGAGGGGGGUGGAAUUCCGCGUGUAGCAGUGAAAUGCGUAGAUAUGCGGAGGAACACCGAUGGCGAAGGCAGCCCCCUGGGCCAAUACUGACGCUCAUGCACGAAAGCGUGGGGAGCAAACAGGAUUAGAUACCCCGGUAGUCCCUGUCUCUUAUAC